UCACGGUGAAAGAUUUAUCGCCUGGAGAUGAGCUCGCGUCUGAUUAGCUAGUUGGUGGGGUAAAAGCGUACCAAGGCGACGAUCAGUAGCUGGUCUGAGAGGAUGAUCAGCCACACUGGGACUGAGACACGGCCCAGACUCCUACGGGAGGCAGCAGUGGGGAAUUUUCCGCAAUGGGCGAAAGCCUGACGGAGCAACGCCGCGUGAGGGAGGAAGGCUUUUGGGUUGUAAACCUCUUUUCUCAAGGAAGAUAAUGACGGUACUUGAGGAAUCAGCAUCGGCUAACUCCGUGCCAGCAGCCGCGGUAAUACGGAGGAUGCAAGCGUUAUCCGGAAUAAUUGGGCGUAAAGCGUUCGUAGGUGGUUUUGCAAGUCUGCUGUUAAAGCGUGUAGCUUANCUACAUAAUGGCGGUGGA
rnacentral:rRNA from 1 species